rnacentral:rRNA from 1 species
UACGGAGGGGGCUAGCGUUGUUCGGAAUUACUGGGCGUAAAGCGCACGUAGGCGGCUUUGCAAGUUAGAGGUGAAAGCCCGGGGCUCAACUCCGGAACUGCCUUUAAAACUGCAUCGCUAGAAUUGUGGAGAGGUAAGUGGAAUUCCGAGUGUAGAGGUGAAAUUCGUAGAUAUUCGGAAGAACACCGAUGGCGAAGGCAGCUCGCUGGGACGUGACUGACGCUGAGACGCGAAAGCGUGGGGAGCAAACAGG